GGAACCUUCGGCAAUGGACGAAAGUCUGACCGAGCAACGCCGCGUGAGUGAAGAAGGUUUUCGGAUCGUAAAACUCUGUCGUUAGAGAAGAACAAGGGUGAGAGUAACUGUUCACCCCUUGACGGUAUCUAACCAGAAAGCCGCGGCUAACUACGUGCCAG
rnacentral:rRNA from 1 species